GUCCUCAGCCUGGGGGAUCCUGCUGCGGGAGACAGAGACAUCUGCCCCUUCACAGCUGGGAAGCAUGUGGACCCACAUGUCAUGGGACCGAGGUUGAGACAUUCUGCUUCAGGGACGCUGAGGCCCCGAGAUAUUGUGGCCACCCUGAUCAAUGUGCCUACAGUGGCCCCGUGACUCUGAAGGUGAUCAAAAGCCACAUUUCUGGGUGGCAGGCACUCAGCAAGACAAUCCCCAUGCAUGACCACUAACUGUCACCUGUGAGGCCCGAAGACAGUGUGCUGGGCUUUUUCCAUGGGAAAUCCGUAACUCCAGGAAGAAGAAAGUUCUAGAAAUAGCUCCUGAGAACCUGGGGAUAUAAUGCACUUGGGUGUUUUCUUCAACACAAAACCCUUCUUGCUUGUCGGUGGGCACACUGGCAAGAUGAAACUCUGAGUCCUGACAUCUGGGACGGGUUCCCGUGACCCCUGGCUGCUCCCAGAGCUGUGCUGUGGGUGGGGGACGAGGGGCUCCUCUCUGGGGGUGUCCACAGUCCCCCGCCCGAGGCUGCGUCGUUUGGUCUCCACGCUGUCAGCACCAAAUGCUUUUCAGAUAUCGGGAACAUGGUCAGCUCCUCCUGCUUUCUGUGCUCCUUGCAAGUCCUGUUAUCAUUUGCUUUUUACAAUCCUGGACACAGUAAUGAGGUUUUACAUCCCUCAAACGUGUUCUAAAAGGCAGUUACCAGCUCUCUUAGUGUGACCUUUUCAGCGCCCCAUGAUUUACGUGGUUGGCCAUUUGUCUUCCUCCUUUUUAAAUAACAGCAAUCAAAGGAAGGGAUGGGAAGUCAAGAGCCUGUUUUGGUGGGGACGCAGAAGGUUGACAAAUGCUCUUCCACUAUCACCCAACAGCCUUCGGCAUUUCAAAGGCCUGACGGGGUUUUAUUGGGCUGUAGUUUGUUCCCUGGAAACCUGUGUAGCUACAAAUCUAGGAGGACUUCACCUCCCGUGCUGUCACCUACCACCUACUGGUGACCUUGGAGGUUGUCUCUGGAUACCCCCCUUUCUCUAGGGAGGAAUGACAUUCUCUCUUCUGGAGAGCCUUUGACAAUAUACUU